rnacentral:rRNA from 1 species
CUAAGACUGGAUAGGAGACAAGAGGGCAUCUUCUUGUUUUUAAAAGACCUAGCAAUAGGUAUGCUUAGGGAGGAGCUUGCGUCACAUUAGUUAGUUGGUGGGGUAAAGGCCUACCAAGACUAUGAUGUGUAGCCGGGCUGAGAGGUUGAACGGCCACAUUGGGACUGAGACACGGCCCAAACUCCUACGGGAGGCAGCAGUAGGGAAUUUUCGGCAAUGGAGGAAACUCUGACCGAGCAACGCCGCGUGAACGAUGAAGUAUUUCGGUACGUAAAGUUCUUUUAUUAGGGAAGAAUAAAUGAUGGAAAAAUCAUUCUGACGGUACCUAAUGAAUAAGCCCCGGCUAACUAUGUGCCAGCAGCCGCGGUAAUACAUAGGGGGCAAGCGUUAUCCGGAAUUAUUGGGCGUAAAGGGUGCGUAGGCGGUUAAAUAAGUUUAUGGUCUAAGUGCAAUGCUCAACAUUGUGAUGCUAUAAAAACUGUUUAGCUAGAGUAAGAUAGAGGCAAGUGGAAUUCCAUGUGUAGUGGUAAAAUGCGUAAAUAUAUGGAGGAACACCAGUAGCGAAGGCGGCUUGCUGGGUCUUUACUGACGCUGAGGCACGAAAGCGUGGGGAGCAAACAGGAUUAGAUACCCUGGUAGUCCACGCCGUAAACGAUGAGUACUAAACGUUGGGUAAAACCAGUGUUGAAGUUAACACAUUAAGUACUCCGCCUGAGUAGUACGUACGCAAGUAUGAAACUUAAAGGAAUUGACGGGACUCCGCACAAGCGGUGGAUCAUGUUGUUUAAUUCGAAGGUACCCGAAAAACCUCACCAGGUCUUGACAUGCUUCUGCAAAGCUGUAGAAACACAGUGGAGGUUAUCAGUUGCACAGGUGGUGCAUGGUUGUCGUCAGCUCGUGUCGUGAGAUGUUGGGUUAAGUCCCGCAACGAGCGCAACCCUUAUUGUUAGUUACCAGCACGUAAUGGUGGGGACUUUAGCAAGACUGCCAGUGAUAAAUUGGAGGAAGGUGGGGACGACGUCAAAUCAUCAUGCCCCUUAUGACCUGGGCUACAAACGUGAUACAAUGGCUGUUACAAAGGGUAGCUGAAGCGCAAGUUUUUGGCGAAUCUCAAAAAAACAGUCUCAGUUCGGAUUGAAGUCUGCAACUCGACUUCAUGAAGUUGGAAUCGCUAGUAA